rnacentral:lncRNA from 1 species
CGCGCCUGGCGUGCCUCCGCCGUCGCCCGAGCCGCCCAGCCCCGCGCCUGGCGUGCCUCCGCCAUCGCCUGAGCCGCCCAGCCCCGCGCCUGGCGUGCCUCCGCCGUCGCCCGAGCCGCCCAGCCCCGCGCCUGGCGUGCCUCCGCCGUCGCCUGCGCCGCCCAGCCCCGCGCCUGGCGUGCCUCCGCCGUCGCCUGCGCCGCCCAGCCCCGCGCCUGGCGUGCCUCCGCCGUCGCCCGAGCCGCCCAGCCCCGCGCCUGGCGUGCCUCCGACGUCGCCUGCGCCGCCCAGCCCCGCGCCUGGCGUGCCUCCGCCGUCGCCUGCGCCGCCCAGCCCUGCCCCCGGCGUGCCUCCGCCGUCGCCCGAGCCGCCCAGCCCCGCGCCUGGCGUACCUCCGCCGUCGCCUGCGCCGCCCAGCCCCGCGCCUGGCGUACCUCCGCCGUCGCCUGCGCCGCCCAGCCCUGCCCCCGGCGUGCCUCCGCCGUCGCCUGCGCCGCCCAGCCCCGCGCCUGGCGUGCCUCCGCCUUCGCCCGAGCCGCCCAGCCCCGCGCCUGGCGUGCCUCCGCCAUCGCCCGAGCCGCCCAGCCCCGCGCCUGGCGUGCCUCCGCCGUCGCCUGCGCCGCCCAGCCCCUCGCCUGGCGUGCCUCCGCCAUCGCCCGAGCCGCCCAGCCCCGCGCCUGGCGUGCCUCCGCCGUCGCCUGCGCCGCCCAGCCCCUCGCCUGGCGUGCCUCCGCCAUCGCCCGAGCCGCCCAGCCCCGCGCCUGGCGUGCCUCCGCCGUCGCCCGAGCCGCCCAGCCCCGCGCCUGGCGUGCCUCCGCCAUCGCCCGAGCCGCCCAGCCCCGCGCCUGGCGUGCCUCCGCCGUCGCCUGCGCCGCCCAGCCCCGCGCCUGGCGUGCCUCCGCCGUCGCCUGCGCCGCCCAGCCCCGCGCCUGGCGUGCCUCCGCCGUCGCCUGCGCCGCCCAGCCCCGCGCCUGGCGUGCCUCCGCCGUCGCCCGAGCCGCCCAGCCCCGCGCCUGGCGUGCCUCCGACGUCGCCUGCGCCGCCCAGCCCCGCGCCUGGCGUGCCUCCGCCGUCGCCUGCGCCGCCCAGCCCUGCCCCCGGCGUGCCUCCGCCGUCGCCCGAGCCGCCCAGCCCCGCGCCUGGCGUACCUCCGCCGUCGCCUGCGCCGCCCAGCCCCGCGCCUGGCGUAC